UGCUCCCAUACAAUAGCUGUGUGUGAAGGCAGACAUGGAGGCCUUAUUUGAAUCUAUGUAUGUAUGUAUACACACACACACACACAUAUGUGACCCUGGACCUCAAAACGAGUCUUAAGUCGCUGGGGUAUAUUUUUAGCAAUAAAAAAUUUUUAGCAAAAAAAAAAACAUUGUAUGGGUCAAAAUUAUCGAUUUUUCUUUUAUGCCAAAAAUCAUUAGGAUAUUAAGUAAACAUCAUGUUCCAUGAAGAUAUUUUUUAAAUUUCCUACCGUAAAUAUAUCAAAACUUAAUUUUUGAUUAGUUCUGAAAAUUUAAGUACAUAUAUAUACUGUAUAUACACACAUAUUUGUGUGUGUGUGUGUGUGUGUGUGUAAUGUAUGUAUAUGUGUGUUUGUCUGGUAGAGUCUAAGAUGAAAAUAGAAUAAGAAAUAACCUAGUUAAAAUUUGUGCACACAAGCGAACUGUAGUGUUUAAAAGUAUAAAGUUAUUACGAGGCACUUGACUGUUAGCAUUAUGUGUGUAUCUUUUAAUCUACACUUGUACCAGGAGCUUCUGGACAAAAGUAAUUCUCAGGAACUGAGAUAUCCCUGCAGGGGAGGGUGUAAUUUUGGUGGUUGUUUUGCUCUUGAAGGUAUUACAAUAUUCAAUCAGCCUAGAGCAAUAACAAACUGUAUUCUGGCAUGACAGCUGAGGAAAUAGGUUAAAAUGUCCAUUGUGCUAAAAUGCAAAUCCCUGCAUAAUGAGAUGUUUACACAGUAUAUUACGUUUGUAUUUACUCAUCAUAUUUUUGGACCGUUUCAGAUGAGAGUUUAAUGGAAGGGACCCCUGACUCCCAGUCUGACAGGUCACAGUCUGAUAUCUUUGCUGAGUUGGAUGAUCUGGCCCCUCGCUCAAGUUCCUGUGUGUCUCCAGACCACCCAGCCGGGAGUCAAACUGACCGAUCCUCACCUAUCAAAGAUCUGAGUCCUGGACUUGUGGCACUAACUGUGGGAUGUGAUUCAGGUGAUCUGGGAUCUUUGUCCCGUGUGCAGCUCCUGCUAUUGGAGCGAAGAGGAUCCAAGAGUCCAGGAUCCAUCCCAAGCCCUGAAUGGUGUCAUACUUCGGACGGGGAGGAGUAUGAACCUGACCUUAGAGCUCGGGCAUUCCCCAAUAUUAUCAGUCCACAGGUACAUUACAUAUCAUAUAGCAAGCUGCCAAGCACCUGUCCAGCGUAGUGGUGAAUGUGUGCGUCCGUUUGUGUGUGGGUGUGUGCACGUAUAAGCUUGCCUGUCUGUGUGCAUAUUUGCGCAUAAAAAGACUGUAGCAGACGCAUUGGACCCUGCUAUCUCUCCAUGUCACCUCACAUCAGAUUGCAAUGUUUACAUUCACGAGCAACAGCGCCUUGAUUGCCUUUAAAUAACUCUGAAAAAUAACAGUUAGGAGGGGGGCAAAAAAUCCCAAGAGGAACGGUUGAUUUGACUUGGGGAAAUUUGGCAAUUGUGCUGUGUAAAGGAGAGGGCGUCGGGGAAUAACGUUACGGGUAUACCGAUUGUUGGCCGUCCUUGAGAGUUAUGUUUUUAGUAUUUGUGUAUGUGUAUGUGUAUGUGUAUGUGUGUGUGACCCCAUUGCUGUUACCUUUGAACCAAAGCCGGCAUGCCUCUCAUCUGUUCUAGGGCGCGCGGCUACAAGUCCUAAACUGAAGCCAUAAAGAUAUUGCGGUUUGUUGCUCCUCCUCCUCCCAAAAAAAAACGCUUUAUGGAGUUAUGAAAAAGUCAUAUUAAUCAAGAUAAAAAACGUGUCAAGUUUAUCAUUAACCCAAAACCUCAGUUCAUCCACACGUCUGGUUGCGAUGGAAGUCUGCGA
ensembl:lncRNA